UCCAUCCAUCUUAAGGCUUAUCAGACUUAUUUUUACGGAACCCGGUAUUGCUACCGGAGAUGGAAAGGUAGAAUCAUCGGCCGUAAGCAGAAGGUGCUGGCUUAAUAAAACAUGAUAACAAGGCAGCGAUGUGCGGUCUGCCCAGAGGCUCCGCCCUGGGGGCCCUGAGCUUGACCAGGCGACCCUCGGUGGAGGCGACCGACCAAGCCGAGCUUCCUCUACGACAUGCUCCGGAAGUCCGAGAGAGGAGAGGACGGAGCUGUGUCCUCACCACGGGCUGCAAAGUCCCUGUGCCACCUAAACUGCUUCCCUUUGCACCGAAAGUAGGUUUGCAGAACGCGGGUGCUGGGGGUGCCCCUUUUGGGGAGAUACCAAAAAUAGCAAAGGCCGCUUCUGCGCACGACGAGGGUUUUCGGGCUGCCGCUGUGGCCCCCGUCGCAUCGGCUGUCUUCCCGUCUGGCUGCAGGAGGGCAGCACCUGGUCACGGAGAUGUCGGGGGACGUAGUCACCCUGGAAUGACACGUUUGCUCUAUGAUUUUCCGCCUGGGUGGUCUCAACCGUAUGAAGGACGGGUUAUCACCCCUCCUGGCGGCUGAGGAAACUGGUACCCAGAGAAGGGGGCGCAGCUGGCCUGAGCCCACGCCGCUGGCUGGUAAGUGUCCCACCCAGUCCAAAAGAUUCUAGAACGUUCUAGUCAAGUCCAGAACGCUUUCCACCGCACCACGCCGACCUUCUAUUUGGACCCAACGCAGUAUGACCAGGGCAAUAAAAAGGCUGUGGGAACAAUAGAAAAGCCAUCGUACUCAGUCCCUUUAAUCGGCUGUGUCCAAAAUCCGGCCGCACUCCUUGGCCUCUCCCCCACCUUCCGCUUGUUUGUUUGUUUGCGGGACGAAGGAGCAGAGGGCCUAAAGGAGACGCUCAGCUCACCGGCUUCCAGAGUAAACACCACCAAUGCCAAGGCUCUUGGCAAUCGGGCAGAGGUGACAUUAAGGGCUCCAGGCUCCCGAGAUAAAUGAGAUAAACGCUUUCCCAGACUUUUGGAGGGAAUCUGAGAAGGAAAACUCCACCCCAGUUAUCUCCAAGGGGCCCAGAGCCCCAGGACAUUCUGCCCGCAGGGGGCCCUGGGCGGUCCUGCACACAAAGCCACCGUUGCCUCCAGGCACAGUCCUGAGGUGGAGUCCUGCUUCCACUGUCCCUAAAAGCAGAGGACUUGAUGGCUUGAGCUCAAGCAACCAUCUUGGGGCAUGAGGUGGAUGCCUUUUGCUGAGCAUGGCAGGGCAGCCUGAGAGAAGGACCCGGGGUGUCUGAUGACCUCAGGAAGCCCCCACCAGUCCUGGAAUCCUGCAACGCCCACCCCUGGACUUGUCUUGUAUGAGAGAGAAGUCACUUUCACCGGCUUGAAGAUGACUUUUCUAUCCUUUGCUGCUGAGCCCACAGCGGCCUUCUCCUCUAUGGGCCGUUGACGCAACUCCCUCAUCAUGACAGGAAUGACGAAACAGCCCCAGAGGGGGGGUGUGAUCCGUCCAAGGUCACAGGUUGUUGCAUAAACAUUUCAUUUCAAGCCUGCAUGAAGUAACUGCGGACGCAAACAGCCCCUGCCUCCCGAGUGCCAGCCAACACCAUGGCCAAGCCAGUUCACGGGAGGACGAAUCAAUGAGGCCGGUGACGCUCUGCAGCCCUUGGCCACCGUGGCUGCUAUCGGCCCAGCUCUGCCCCGGCCUCCCCGAGGACUCGUGCAGAACCUGGUCCCUCCACCCGCCUCUGCGAAAUCACUUCCCUGAGGGUCAGCCUCUGGGACGGUGGGACGUGUCAUUCUGGUGAAGCUUGUGAUGUGGCCGCCCCUGCUGGGAUCCCCUUCAUGGAGACAAGCUCCCACAGGCCCUCCUCACCCCUUGUCUUGUUUGUCUGCAUUUCCUGUGGGCAGAACCUUUUUGGUGACCCUGAGAACAUGGCAGCCCCCCCACCCCGUGACUGCCUCUGACCUUCAGUGAUCCCGAACCUCGUGUUGGGGACCCCUCUUCUGAUGGAUGAGGGGUGACGCAGCUCAUCCCGGCCACCUUCCUGCCGCCGGGUCUCACAAAACUCCAAGCUGCCUCUUGCUCCCUGUCCUAAGAGCCUGCGAUGGCAUCUCGUGACUUCUCUUGGCCAAAAGACUGACAAGUUCUCAGCAGUCAUGAUGAAGGUGACAUGGGUGACACAGCCAGGGGGAGGCCCUUCCCAGGUCCAGCAUCACACGGUGAGCCUCCCCGGGGACAAUGCUGCCGUGUGUGCCCUGUCACACCAGCCGGGCAGACGCGGCACCGGGAUCCGGCCCCUGCCCCUUGGCACGGACCCUCCCAUGGGCCCCGCAGCCCUUGCUGUCUCACGGCUGUCCAACAUCCUGCCGCGGGGCCGCUGUGCAUUCAGUCACAAGUCACCUCGUUUAUACUAGGGUGUGACUGACCCAUACCUGUCGGCCGCUCCCCACCGCAGACGCCGGGGCUACAAUCGAGGGCCCUGUUCCUACGGCUUCGUGACAAACACGUGGAGACUGAUGGAGGCAGCUGCCAACAGCGAGCGAGGGGUCUUCCCAGGGGAUCGCUCAAGUUUAACGGAGCUGCGGCAGGGAGGAAGCCCGGGGGGCUGUGUGGCUAGCAUAGGAGUGUCACUCACACCGCAGCCGCUGGACAGAAAUCCCACGGAAGAAGCGCUCCGGGGAGAGGCGGAGGCCGGUGUCUGAACCCCCAAGGCACCCGGAGAUUUGCGUGCUCACCCCCUCCAGAGGCAGAUGGUGUAGACACCCCCGGUUCCGUCCCGGCCCUUCCCUAACAGGACCUUCCAGGCGGCCUCUCGGCUCCUACCUUUAGUUCCACCCCCUUGGUUUUAAGGCCCGUGCAUUCGCCCCCAAGAUGGGGCAUUUCCCGCAAUUUCGAGACCGGAAUCCGCCCCGCUCCUCUGUGAGUGCUCCCCACCCCCACGCCGGGGGCCUGCCUCGCCGAUGACAGAGCUGUGUCACCACGUCUGUGACGUGGCUGUCCCAGGACCACCUCGCAGGAAACGGGGCCUUAGACCAUCACGGCGCAGGGAGUUCAAACACUUGGCAACACUUGGUCGCUAUUUGAGGGCUUUUCUGUGAACAUCUGAUUGCCUAAUUCACAUUCCUCCUCCCUCUGCCUUGACUCUCAGACGCUUUGAGAACAAGCCAAAAAUAAAA